rnacentral:lncRNA from 1 species
GCGGAUUCCUGUCUGUCUUUGGAGGGCGAUCGGAAUCGAGGAUGAGAUCCUUGACGCUAGUUACUUCCGAGAGCUCUCCAGCGAGUAGCUUCGCGGCCAGUCUUUCUCCCAAGACUUUGCAGUUGGUCGUGGAGUGUCCUCGGGACUGGUGGAACUCGCAGAAGGUGUUUUCGUCAUUCCCUUGAUUGCGGGUCCACGUGUUGCCCGUGGUUCGGCCUUGAUCCGAAUUGAUCGCAUAAUUAUGCGCCCCUCGGAGAUCUUCCCCCUCGUGAUGGACGUACUUGUCGUUACGAGAGUUCUUCUUUCUCCCUUUCGGAUACACGUCCUUCGAGGAUGGUCUUGCCACCUUAUGUUUUUGCGAUAAGACUCCUACUCGACUAUGAUGUACUCUGUUGCUUUGUGUAGGGCGUCCUGGAUCGUUCACGGUUUGUCGAGGGUUAUCCACUUUCUGAAUCUCGACUUGUACCAGAGCGUCUAUCUCAGCGCGUCAAUGGCCACUUUGUCGCUUAUCCCGCUGACCCUGGACAUUAUAAGAGAAAGAGGACGACUCAGUCAAGAGAUAUGAAGACGAUUGUGGAGACCUUGAGGAGCACACUCAAAGAACAGUUGUGGACAGAGUAAAGAGGUUAUGGAGAAUGUUGUGAAGACGAGCAAUUGCGCAACUAAGAAUUCAAGGAUGAAUUCUAUUAAGGGGGGGAGAAUGUAGAAACCCGUUGAAAAAAAAAAAAAAAGAGUGGUCGAGUAUCUUUGUGGUGGUCGAGUCGCGGGCGAUAAGGAUCGAUCGAGAAGUUUUGAAGUACGAGGUGGGUGAAGAAGUGAUCGUGAGUUAACUAUGGGUCGAAUAAGUUUGUCGACCAUAGUUAGAAGAUGCCUUAGAUUGAUGAGACGGACGUUUUGGAAGCAUAACAUUUUUGGAAGCAAGACGGUUUAGAAGCUCGACGUUUGUGAAGAAUGACGUUUCUUCAGCACGAAGUUUUCUGCAAAACUUCGUAUCAGCGGAAUAUUAUUUUGAAGACAUUGGAAGCAUGACGGGAGUUAAGCACGACGGGAUCAAAGCACGACGGGAAAACCCGAAAUUAGACUAAAACCCUAAUUUCGGUAUUAUGCAAGUCUUCGAUGAAGCCGAAGGAUCGGGAAAUAUUUACCGCCAAAGUCAGACUUCAGAUUGGAGUUUAUUAAAAAUAUUAAACUCAUCUGAAUGGGAGAAGAAAAAUAUUCGGGAUUGAUCGCGGGACGAAAAUAUGCCGGAAAGGUCAAAAAUCGCGUAAACCGACCAAGAAGCUCGAGGUGUCCCUAUGCAUAUGGCCAGGACGUUCUGUCUAUCACAUAAGCAGCUGAGUGUCAAUACAAGGAGGAGGUGUAGACGUACAUGAAAGCUGAACAUGCAGCUUGACACAUAGAAGCAUGAGGUGGAACGGCCAAGCACGAGGUGUCUCCGCGCAUGCAACCGAAGCAUGCUGAUCAACAUGUGUGUGCUUGGGUGGCGUCUUGCAUGAGUUCCAGUCAUGCAGCCUGACAUCUGGGAGGAGUGGUGGCGUCCUGCAUGUGUCCUGGACAUGCAGCCAGCCAUGUAGAGCACGAGGUGCCGCCGGGCAUGCGUCCGGAGCCAUGCGAAGCGACACACGGGCUGCCACCAACCUGAAGCUGAUUGGCUGGUGUCUCCUAUAAAGACCCCACGACCCAUGCUCAUUUAUUCACAUCCAUACCUGUCCAAACCAAGUUAAAAACGUGAGAGAAAAGUAGAAAAAGAAAGCAAGUGAUUCCGAGCUAUUUCGAGAGUUUUAGAGAGUUUUCGAGAUCAGUUCUCUAUUGAUUUCGAGUCAUUGCCUUGGGAAGGUUCUGUCCAACUGAAGGCCAAUAAAAUGAAGAUCAGUUCAGAUGGGAAUCAAGUCAACGUGGCCAGAGAGAAAGAGAGAGAGAAGGAAAGCGUUCGAUCUAAAGUUUAAUCGAUUCUGAAGACCGAGAAGGCCAGUUCCGUCCAAUCGACGAUUCUCUACGAUUGUGACGCGGAAGCUCUGUCCAUAUCUAUCCGUCCAGCCCAGUCAUAUUCUGUGAUGGUCAAGUGGAGGUGCCGUCCGGAGUUAGUUCAGAUCCAUGGGUUCAGAUCAGUCGAAGUUCUGCUCGAUACUCCGCCGGAAAAUCCGAAGAACUGUCCAGGAGCUAAAGGAGGUUCUGUCCAGAUCAGUCUGUCAAGGCCUGUCAGCUUCUUCAUGGUGAAGCAGAGGCUGUGUCCAAGACAAGAUCAGUCCAGUCCACUCCAGUCAAGUCGUCCAUUGGGUUUUGUCAAGUCUUCUCUGAUCAACCAGCUGCUUCUCGGCAAAGAACACCGUGACUUGUGAUCAAUUGAUUGCUGACUUGUUUUCAUGCAGGUUCCCGUUACUUGUAAGUUUGAUCAUGGCAGAAGGCAGGGUCUAACUGAGUAACGGUUUGAUUAGUUAAUAGUUGAGUAUUAGUUGACUGAGUUGAUAGCAUGCUUAGUUAUUGCUUGGGAACCAUAGUAGCAUGCUAAUGGUUAGGUUGAUUGGUUAGUUAGCGAAUGUUGAAUGCUUAGAUGAUAUCGCUAAGUUGUGGAUAGUUAGGUAUUCUGGAAUUAGUUUUUAUGCUAGAUUCUAGAAUAUGAUUGAUUGUGUUAAUUGCGAUUAAUACUAGGAACCUUGUGUUAUUUUUACCGGGUUUAGUAUUAAUCGUAUAUUGGCCGAUAGCAUUUGUGUAACCCACAAUGCUAGGCAUAGUGGGGUGACUUAGUGUUCCUUCAGACCUCGUACCCGGCAUGUUCAAGGAAACCCCUUAUUCGCUGGAUCGGGAUGACUCAGAGAGACGGGGUCAUGGCCUAUGGCUGAGUGAUUACACGACGGUGUAAUGUGGCAGUGACCCGAAGGACUGUGGGCUGUCGCGCGGUGACCCGAAGGACAGUGGGCCGCGGUCGGUUGAAAGUUCCUUCUUCUGGCCUUUGUGGUAGAAAUAUAGGAUAUUGCCGAUAGUGAAGAAGGAACAUAACGUCACCAGGGCCCGAGUUUGAUAUAUAUAUUAUAUCGUGUUUUGGGUUGUUAAACCCUGAUUUAAAUCGAGUUUGAGUUUGGUGAUGAGCUAGUAAUUAGCAUAAUGCUAGUUAUCUUGCUAUCGUUUACCGCUGCGUAUUUCAGAUAUUGCUUAUUGUUAUUGAAUAAUGUUGUUAGGUGAACCUCUCGCUUUAGAUUGUUUGGGGUGGGAUAGCGAGGGGUUGUAUUUGUUAGAUGGGGAUCAUAAUUCACUGAGUAACAUUAGGUUACUCAUCCAACUCCGUUGUCCUUUUUGCAGGUCGCUUUAGGUAAGGAUGAUCGGAUAGCUUGGUGCUGGACGUUAGGACCGCCGGUGUAGAUUUCCAUGCCUUUUGUAAACGGUAUUGAGUUAUGUGUUUUGUUGGCUCGAUUUGGCAUUAGGCCGGGCCCAGUCUCGAAUUAUUCAAUGUAUGGAUAUUUCUCGAAUCAAUAAAGUAAAUGUUUUAUAUGCGCUUCAUGAGUACUCUGAUAUUUGACUAGUCCGGUCUAACACAACGUUAGGUCGUAGUACGGGUUGAAAAGCCUUAGGCCUCGAUCUAACAGAAAACGCUAACUCUUGGCGGGGUUGCAAAGCCUUGUGCCUUGACGCAGCGGGAUGAACUGGUCGAGGUCGUGAAGUAUAGUUAGUGACUCUGACCGGAUUGUCCCUAGCCCGUCACGUAGCGCUUCCAAACCAUGGUGUUGGGUUGGACGGUCAGUCAUGUUCUUGUUUGAUUGUUGGCUGGCCGGUUGGCCUUUCAUCUUCAACCCUUGGUGUGGGUCGUCCGUCGGUCAUGUUCUUUUUUUAUUGUUGGCUGGUGGGUCGACCUAUGCUUAGGACGGUUCGGGGGUGUUACAGAGGUGGUAUCAGAGCAUGGUUUCAUCCAUGCUUCCGGAACUCAAGAUUUAAUCGGUUUUAAAUAUUUAUCGAGUCAAAAAGAGUAACAAAAGGCAUUAGGGAAGCCAGUCACGUCAAGCGAUAGGAUUUGUGGUUUUAAGAAUUAGGAUUGUGAUAGUGGAAUCUAGAACUGUUAGGUUGCUGGUUAGCAUUGCUAGGUUGUGUGGUUAGCAUUGCUAGAUUGUUGUUAUUGUUUGUUGGGUUAGUAGAUUAUUGGUUAGUUGUCUACUAACUUGCAUGUGAGGUGUUGUUUGGAGUUGCAGGGAGUAAGUGCGUUUGUUGAUCGGAACUUUAAGGGAUGAAAAACUUAAAGUGGAGGGAGUUAGAGGCCAAACCCAAACUCGAAGAGAAAGAGUGGAGGCAGAUUCAGAGAACUGGGCUGUGGUAUGGACUGGACAGAUGGGAGGAAACAAGUCUUCGUUGGGAAAGGACUUCAUCAAUACUUGGGAAGACGAAGAUCGAGAAGGAUUUCAGGAAUCUGGACAAGUUAGUAUCAUGGGCAAUCAGUGUGUUAUGACAUAAUAAGAGAAAGAGGACAACUCAGUCAAGAGAUAUGAAGACGAUUGUGGAGACCUUGAGGAGCACACUCAAAGAACAGUUGUGGACAGAGUAAAGAGGUUAUGGAGAAUGUUGUGAAGACGAGCAAUUGCGCAACUAAGAAUUCAAGGAUGAAUUCUAUUAAGGGGGGGAGAAUGUAGAAACCCGUUGAAAAAAAAAAAAAAAAAGAGUGGUCGAGUAUCUUUGUGGUGGUCGAGUCGCGGGCGAUAAGGAUCGAUCGAGAAGUUUUGAAGUACGAGGUGGGUGAAGAAGUGAUCGUGAGUUAACUAUGGGUCGAAUAAGUUUGUCGACCAUAGUUAGAAGAUGCCUUAGAUUGAUGAGACGGACGUUUUGGAAGCAUAACAUUUUUGGAAGCAAGACGGUUUAGAAGCUCGACGUUUGUGAAGAAUGACGUUUCUUCAGCACGAAGUUUUCUGCAAAACUUCGUAUCAGCGGAAUAUUAUUUUGAAGACAUUGGAAGCAUGACGGGAGUUAAGCACGACGGGAUCGAAGCACGACGGGAAAACCCGAAAUUAGACUAAAACCCUUAUUUCGG